rnacentral:lncRNA from 1 species
CUGAGCAUGACGUACGCGCUCUGCUGCAUGCUCCGGCGUCGGCCAGCGCAAUGGCCCAAAGCGUGUGGCGGCGUGCCGCUCGACCCACGUCAUGGCGCCGUCGAGCAGGGCCAGCAAGGUGCGCACGUCGCUGGCGCCCACGGCCAGCUCGCUGCUCGCCGACGACGAGGCAAGUGUGAUCACCCCGGGAAAUGCAUGCCAACUGUUCGAUGAAAUGCCUACAAUGAAACUCCAAAACCAUGGACACGCUCAGCCCAAUACCGCUCCAUUCCUGGUUCUGGACGAAACGUGUCUGAUUUUCAAGCACGAGGGACCAAAUGUCGAUGGAAAAAAGACGAGGGAUCAAAUGUCUGCCUCUUGUAAACUUAGAGGGACCAACAAUAUACACUUUUCUCAAAACAAAACAGUCGAACAGUUUUGUAAUAAGAAACUCAAACAAAUAUUCGUGUUUGUCUCGAUCAUGUGCAAGAAGGAUAUAUAUACAAGCAUGCAUAGAGUGGUUUUCUUGCAGAUUAACUCAGAGUUUCAUUUUUGCGCUUGUAGCAUACAUCGAAGACAAGUCGCGACUUCGGUGAAUGAAGGUCUUCGCUCAGGCUCAGUCGACCAACAUUGCUCCAUCA